CCUACGGGAGGCAGCAGUGGGGAAUCUUGCACAAUGGGGGAAACCCUGAUGCAGCGACGCCGCGUGGAGGAAGAAGGUCUUUGGAUUGUAAACUCCUUUUCUCGGGGAAGAGUAGGGACGGUACCCGAGGAAUAAGUCACGGCUAACUACGUGCCAGCAGCCGCGGUAAUACGUAGGUGGCAAGCGUUAUCCGGAAUUACUGGGCGUAAAGCGCACGCAGGCGGUUUUUCAAGUUCGACGUGAAAGCUCCCGGCUCAACUGGGAGAGGUCGUUGAAAACUGAGGAACUUGAGGCAAGGAGAGGGGUGUAGAAUUCCCGGUGUAGUGGUGGAAUGCGUAGAUAUCGGGGGGAAUACCAGUGGCGAAAGCGGCACCCUAGCCUUAGCCUGACGCUCAGGUGCGAAAGCGUGGGGAGCGAACGGGAUUAGAUACCCUAGUAGU
rnacentral:rRNA from 1 species